UCCCUGGCAGUCCAGUGGUUAAGACUCUGCGUUUUCACUGCAGGGGGCACAGGUUCAAUUCCUGGUCAGUGAA
rnacentral:tRNA from 1 species